CACUGCUAUCGGUGUUCGAUUAAGCCAUGCGAGUCGAGAGGCGUCAAGGCCUCGGCGUACUGCUCAGUAACACGUGGACAACCUGCCCAAAGGUCCGGGAUAACCCCGGGAAACUGGGGAUAAUACCGGAUAAGUCACAGGUACUGGAAGGUCUUGUGGUUGAAACUUCCGGGGCCUUUGGAUGGGUCUGCGGCGGAUUAGGUUGUUGCCGGUGUAACGUACCGUCAAGCCUGUAAUCCGUACGGGUUGUGGGAGCAAGAGCCCGGAGAUGGAUUCUGAGACACGAAUCCAGGCCCUACGGGGCGCAGCAGGCGCGAAAACUCUACAAUGCAGGCAACUGCGAUAGGGGAACAUCGAGUGAUACUCAUCUUGGGUGUCUGUCCCACCGUCUAAAAAACGGUGGUUAGCAAGGGCCGGGCAAGACCGGUGCCAGCCGCCGCGGUAAUACCGGCGGCUCGAGUGGUGGCCGAUAUUAUUGAGUCUAAAGGGUCCGUAGCCGGCUUUGCAAGUCUUUUGGGAAAUCCAGCGGCUUAACCGUUGGUCGUCCGGGAGAUACUACAUUGCUUGGGACUGGGAGAGGUAGGAGGUACUCAGGGGGUAGGAGUGAAAUCCUGUAAUCCUUUGGGGACCACCGGUGGCGAAGGCGUUCUACCAGAACAGGUCCGACGGUGAGGGACGAAAGCUAGGGGCACGAACCGGAUUAGAUACCCGGGUAGUCCUAGCCGUAAACGAUGCUCGCUAGGUGUCACAACAAUCGUGAAUUGUUGUGGUGCCGUAGGGAAGCCGUGAAGCGAGCCACUUGGGAAGUACGACC
rnacentral:rRNA from 1 species